rnacentral:rRNA from 1 species
AGAUUGAACGCUGGCGGCAUGCCUUACACAUGCAAGUCGAACGGCAGCACGGGAGCAAUCCUGGUGGCGAGUGGCGAACGGGUGAGUAAUACAUCGGAACGUGCCCAGUAGUGGGGGAUAACCCGGCGAAAGCCGGACUAAUACCGCAUACGACCUACGGGUGAAAGCAGGGGAUCGCAAGACCUUGCGUUAUUGGAGCGGCCGAUGUCAGAUUAGCUUGUUGGCGGGGUAAAAGCCCACCAAGGCGACGAUCUGUAGCUGGUCUGAGAGGAUGAUCAGCCACAUUGGGACUGAGACACGGCCCAAACUCCUACGGGAGGCAGCAGUGGGGAAUAUUGGACAAUGGGCGCAAGCCUGAUCCAGCCAUGCCGCGUGAGUGAUGAAGGCCCUAGGGUUGUAAAGUCUCUUUUGUGCGGGAAGAUAAUGACGGUACGCAAGAAUAAGCCCGGCUACUUCGUGCCAGCAGCCGCGGUAA